UGUGUAUCUGUGUAUAUAUAUAUUAUCAGUAUUAUCAAUUUUGUCAAUCUUAUCUAUUAUUAUUAUUAUUAUUAUUGAUAUUGUUUUGCUGUUAUUAUUUUUAUUAUUAUUAUUAUUAUUAUGGUAAGCCAUAUAAAGAGCAACACUGAAAAGUUUGAGAAUUCUACCCCCAAAGGCAUCAGUGCAGGUCAAAACACACUGCCAGGAAAGAAAGAAAGGACAGAACACCAGAAAGACCAAACACAGAAGACCAAAAAGAAGACAGAAGAAGAGACAAGGAAAAAAAAGAAGAGACAAAAGACAAAAAGAAGAAACAGAAGACCGUCGCCUAUUCACGUAGUAGAAACAUUUUACAGCCUCUGAAGGCUAUUUAUUCCAAAGCCUACAAAUGACAGUAAAAAAAAAAAACAUCUAGAGAACUGAGAAGUCGACGAUCGACUUGCAUUGGAUUGAAGGGCGUAGAAAUUCUUUUAGGUUACGCGGGUUGAUAGAAUUGAUCUUGCACAAGACCGAGAGAGCCCCAAUACCCCUAUGGUGCCCAGUGUCCAAAUUUAAGUCAAAUAGGAGGAGAAAUGUAAUGGGAUUUAAGGAACGAUUAAGCAAUAGUAUGACUGUAACGAGCACAAGGGAUGUGAAUUUAGAAUGACCCAAAAUUCGUCUAGAAACCCCCCUGUAUACACCUCACUUAGUCUUUAUGCAUAUAUAUUAUUUAAGUAUACCUCAGUUUUUUAGCUUUAAUUAUUUGAGAAAAAGGUACUUUAUUAUUUUCCUAGAAAGAUGAUAUUUUAUUUUAAUAGUUUUACAGGAAAUUCUAUAUAUUUCAAUAUUAUAUUUUUCUAAGAUAAGAAAAUUGUAAAAUAUGAUAGUCUACCCUACAAAGUAUAAGCUUUUUUGUUACCCCCACCAUACAUUCUCUUUAUUUAAAGGGUACGCUAUUAUAUUUCAAUAGUAUUAUUAUAUUAAGGUUGUAUAAAUGAUAUUUUUGUAAAGAAAACCAUAUAUAUUAUUUUUGUUAAUGGAAGGAUUCAUUUAAGUUCUGAAAAUUAUGCAUGUAUAGAUUAAGAAGGACUGUAUAAGUGUAAUAUAUGUGAUCUGAGUAGACUUUAAAAUUCAAAGUAUAUACAGUGCUAAAUCCUGAAAACAUAGCUAUAAUCAUAGAGAGAGAUCGAGAUCAGAGAGGAGUGCCAUACAGCAGCCUGAAAGAGUAUUUGAUUAUCGUGAAAUAUCUGAGGUAAGAAAGAACAUUCCACUAUAAUAAUAUAAUUAAUAAAGUCAUGAACUACUGUACAAUUGAUUUACAGAAGAAAAGAAAGUAACUAUUUGAGAUUAAACUGUAAAUUAGAGAUAAAGAGUAUAUCUUCUUCACAGCUCGAGGCUGGCACAUGGCACAUGGCUCUUGAAUAACAUCCGAUGUGUCUCUCUUGUUUAUAAGAAUUUAAAACCCAUUCAAAGAUUGUGAUUUAUGCGUCCCUGGGGCUGUGAACAAGUAAGAAAGAGCCCAGGACAUUGAUGAAGACAAGGAAAGAAGACACCUGAGAAGAACCAGAAGAAUAAAAGUGACAGGUUGGAAUACAACCAUUUGGGACAUUUAUUUUUGUAGAUGAAAGUUUAUUUUACUGUAGAUGUGUAAUGAUAUUUAACUCAAUAUAUCAACAACAAGUGUAAACUUA